rnacentral:rRNA from 1 species
GGGCUCGCAGGCGGUUUCUUAAGUCUGAUGUGAAAGCCCCCGGCUCAACCGGGGAGGGUCAUUGGAAACUGGGAAACUUGAGUGCAGAAGAGGAGAGUGGAAUUCCACGUGUAGCGGUGAAAUGCGUAGAGAUGUGGAGGAACACCAGUGGCGAAGGCGACUCUCUGGUCUGUAACUGACGCUGAGGAGCGAAAGCGUGGGGAGCGAACAGGAUUAGAUACCCUGGUAGUCCACGCCGUAAACGAUGACUGCUAGGUGUUAGGGGGUUUCCGCCCCUUAUUGCUGCACCUAACGCAUUAAGCACUCCGCCGGGGGAGUACGGUCGCAAGACUGAAACUCAAAGGAAUUGACGGGGGCCCGCACAAGCGGUGGAGCAGGUGGUUUAAUUCAAACCAACGCGAAAAACCUUACCACGCCUUGACAUCCUCUGACUACCCUAAAGAUAGGGCUUUCCCUUCGGAGACCGAAUGACAGGUGGUGCAUGGUUGUCGUCAGCUCGUGUCGUGAGAUGUUGGGUUAA